rnacentral:pre_miRNA from 1 species
AGUGGAAUUGCUGAGUCACAUAGUUAGGCCGUGUUUAAUUUUCUGAGGAACUGCCAAACUAUUUUCCAAAAUAGCUGCACCAUGUUACAUUUCCACCAGCAAU